rnacentral:rRNA from 1 species
UACGUAGGGUCCGAGCGUUGUCCGGAAUUAUUGGGCGUAAAGGGCUCGUAGGCGGUUUGUCGCGUCGGGAGUGAAAACACCGGGCUUAACUCGGUGCUUGCUUUCGAUACGGGCAGACUGGAGGUAUGCAGGGGGAGAACGGAAUUCCUGGUGUAGCGGUGAAAUGCGCAGAUAUCAGGAGGAACACCGGUGGCGAAAGGCGGUUCUCUGGGGCCUUUACCCUGACGCUGAGGGAGCGAAAAAGCGUGGGGGGGAGCGAACGGGAUUAGAAAACCCC